rnacentral:lncRNA from 1 species
UGUGCGUAUGGGAUUUACUGGCCUGGGUCACACACCCACACCAUCAAGUUGAGGAUGGGAGAGUCUGGCCCAUUCAGCUUUAAUAGUAGGUACUCACAACCAAGAUUCAUACAGUGAAAAACUCCUCAAAAAUAGAAAAUAAAGAUUAAAACAUUCUCUACUACAUUCUGCUGUUGUGGCUGCCUAGUACCCAAUAUACCCUAGUUCCUAUAUUUGCCUUUUAACAAUAGUUUUUUUGCCUAACACAGCACCUGUAUACUAUGUAGCCAAGACCACAUGCAGUCAUUUCACCCAGAGGAGAAAAUCUAAGGUUUUUCUCUCUCUUUUUUAANNNNNNNNNNNNNNNNNNNNNNNNNNNNNNNNNNNNNNNNNNUGCAUAACUGGUACACUUAAAAACCCAAGGUCUUUGUUAGUUGUGGGAACCGGUUUCAAGUCAGAACUCUUAGGGGUGUGAAUCUCUCUUUUAGUUCUAUCACAAUUUUGCUUGAUGUUCCAAAACUCAUGAACUAAGUACUAAUGCAUCGUAUAUGCAGCAGUGGGGAAAGGGGAAGGAGAUGAGAAAUUAGCUGAAAUAAAUAUACAUACACACACACAUGCGACACAGCAGGAAAGGAAAUAGCUGUUCAGAGAUGAAGGGAAAACUUCAGAUAAAUUGAGAUAUAGGAAGGUUUUCUGAAGACACAGGGAAAGGGGUUGGGGUGUCGGCAAGAGAUUGGAGAUCAGACAAGGGAACUCUUGAGUGGGUGGAUUCACCUAAGAAACUUGGACACGUGAUGGCUAGGAAAGCAGUUGUCAUUUCUUAGGGGAGGCCAGCUAAUCAGAUCCAGGCACUCUGUCCUCAGCUGCUACAUUAGGUAUCAUGUCUGGGAAUGGCAGCCCUACCCAAGAACAGAUGCAGUUCUAGGGGUCCCUGCUUUGGUUGUGUGUAGGAGGUUUGUAAGGGACUCUAUGGGAACUUAGGGAGCUCUGGGGAUUUCUGUGGGUCUUGACAAGGGUAGGUCCUGAGUCUGGCAGAUGGGCUUUUGUCAGGAAAACAUGGUCUACUGGGGUGUGGUGCCAUGGCCCCAGGAAUAGGCACUUAGUAUGUCAUGCUCUAAAGUCCUUCAAGUCCAAGUCCUGAAGGUCCUGAAGGCUUGUUUUACGAGGUGCAAUGGGCACUGUUCCAGUUAAGCAGCGUAACUGGUCCUCCUCGAAUCCUACAGAAGCAUCCACAUCUCUGUGAGACCUUCCAUUAACUCCUGGUGUAGGCAUAUGUAUUCUCUAUUAAUUUUUUAAAAAUUUCCCUAGUCAGGGAGAGGGAAAGAUGGC